GCAGCUAAAAAAGAGCCUGUUUCUGAGCUUGCCGAGGCUCAUCAGCUGCACCUGCCUCAUUGUGAUCAGACAGCCGGAAUACGUCAUCACAUCGACAGUUGUGUCCCUGUAUGAUGACAAACCGGAAGUAAGUCCUGCGGGGGAUCCGAGCACAAUGCAGGUGGUGGAGUUAUAGUGUAUAAAGCGUCCUCCUCGUGUGUCCCCAGCUCCACUUUCCACACAUCAAGACGACGGGAGUAGCCAUAAUGAAUUGCAGGCAGAGCACGGCGGCCCCCAGCCAACUUAUACAGAAUAAGAUAAAGAGUUUCUGGAGAGGAGAUGAUGCAGCGGAUCACAGCAUAAAGCCAUGAUUGGGUCUGUGAAGAGAGAGCGUGGCCAAGAUGAUGAUAUGCUAUGAGAAAUGCCUCCCAUAGGGCUCAUGUACGCAGACCGGAUGUACAAAGAAUCCGGACUCGAUUCAGGAGACAGCUUGGGACCCCACCCGGGUAAUAGGGAUGGACAGGUUGGGAAUACAAAGUACCACCAAGAUAGGUAUCCAUGUGGGUGCUCCCUACUGUUUCCAUUCAUGGUAUAAAGAUUAUCUGAUCCCUGAUGCAAGAUGGCCGAUAGGGCUUCAUAAUAUGGAGAAGAAAUUCUUGUUCCCAAAAAGUAAUGAGUGUGGGCGUUGUGAAAUGCAAGGAGUAGAUGGUCUAUGAAGCGCACUGAUUUCACUGCCGGUUAGGAGUCAUGAAAGGUAUGGAUACAUAGUGUGGAACGUAUUGAUCGAGUAACAACAGGAAGUUGCCACUGAACCGCACACACGUGACUUCCGGUUGGAGAUUGCGGAAGUCGCAGUAUCGUAAACCCUACCUUGUGGAUGAAUCGUCAACACCUAGUAAAGACAAAAAGAAUCCGGAAUUUGCGGUGCAGGAAAACACUCCCUGUGGGACACAUUGUUAAGAGAGUUAAGAUAGGAACUAGCUAUUGGAACGCACACACGUCACUUCCGAUUUUAGAACCCGCAAGUAACGGUGCUGCGAAUUAUCCAAUUUGUUUGCCUAUUAGCUAGGUAUAUAAGGACAUUUGAUACACUAUUCCUCAUCCAAUUCUUGAGAAAGGUUCUACUGAACCGAAACGCGUUGCUUGGACGGAGGAAAGGUGCACCUGGAUCAUUGGUGAACUUACGCUGACUUACGCUGACAAACCCAUUGCGGUGGUGCCAGGCUAUUUCAGCCCAGGACCACACUUGCUUAUUUAUAAGCUAGCCCACCGCAAACUCGAGAGAUGGUGAGAGAUUCUUUCCAUUCUGCCUCUUGAAAGCACAAGUCACCUUUAUGGAUGAAUUAGUCCACAUUGGACUGAUAAUAUUUAUUUGAAAAAUUUCUAAUUAACAUCUGUUUGUU